UACAGAGGUGGCAAGCGUUGUUCGGAAUUACUGGGCGUAAAGGGCGCGUAGGCGGUUCGUUAAGUCCUGUGUGAAAUCCCCCGGCUCAACUGGGGAACUGCACAGGAAACUAGCGGGCUUGAGUUCGGGAGAGGGAAGCGGAAUUCCGGGUGUAGCGGUGAAAUGCGUAGAUAUCCGGAGGAACACCGGUGGCGAAGGCGGCUUCCUGGACCGACACUGACACUGAGGCGCGAAAGCUAGGGGAGCAAACGGG
rnacentral:rRNA from 1 species